GACUGUUUAUGGCACAGAAUGGAUCACAGAAAAGGUGCUUAUGUAGUACAUUGGGUCCCCGACUGGUGAUGAUUUCAGCCAGGUCUGGAUCAUCUAUGAGCUUAGAGGUGGUGUACAUCAUCAGGGUGUAGGCGGUUCUGUCUAGCAAAGAGGUGUUAUUUUCCAGGCAGGUGAGUAUGGUGGAUUUGAUCUCUUGGAGGAUCCUGGCCGCCUCGGGGUGACACGCCAGACAUUCGCACAACACGCACACGGAGCUGGUGUUGCCCCUACAUUUGAGGGAGAAGGGAAACGAGAGUAGGCACGGUCCUUGGGAGGUAUCCACCGUCUCUACAGGUGUGUCUGGCUCGGAGUAAUCGGGGUCGAGUAACAGGGACCGCUUCCAGGCCUCGCUGAAUAUCUUGAGAAGACUUGGCCUGUUGGUGUUUGAAAAGAACUCACGGUGGGGCACAGCCUUGACAGGGCAGCCAGUGGGGGGAUCUGGACUCUGGGCCCCCUUCUUGUGGGCUGUUUCCAGAGAGCUGGACCAGAUACCUUGUAUGUGAGCAGCAGACUGGACAUUACAGAUGGUAUUAGAUAACAAACUCAGGCGGACCUGGUGCAGGUUUUCCAGUUGAGCCACCUGAUCGGGGGUGGUGUGCCUGAAGCAUUGCCUGGCAAAGAAAUGAAGGUAAAAGUCUAUGCCCAUGAUCUUGCUAGAGUUUAUUUUCUCAGUAAUGAGAUGGUUUAGUCCCGCGUUAGAGAAGAUUUGCAACAUAUCACAGAUUGUUAUGUAGGUUGCGGACCAGGUCACGGGGGCAUGCAGCACGUAGAAGCAGAGGGUCGCAUACUCACUAAAAAAAGAAUCAGGGGGAUUGUGUUCCAGCACAGCUUCGAAAAGCAUGUUACAUAUCUUGCACUUGGAAGUGGGCAACAACGUGCUUGAGAUAUGAGUGAGUGUGGGAUCAUGAAAGCCUGUUUCUGGUGUGGCAGGUAGGUAGGAUUUAGAAAGUAACAUCUGCAUGAUUGAAUCGUGGGAGGUGACUGUCUCUAGAGACCAUGGUACGUACAUCUUCACCACUCGAUGGCGGCCAGUGUAUUUGAGAGGAAGGAUAGCUGUGUUAAAUACCUCCUGAGUCAUGGGGGGCAAUGGUGAUAGCUUUGCAUAUCCUCAGCUUUUAGAUUUUGAGGACAUAUUUACCGAGGACAUAGAUUCAUAUUUUUCCACAACCUAUGUAAAGUUUCACUUUUUGAACUACUGUAUCUUUUUGACCUGGUUUAUUAGUCAUAGGCACACUGAAAAGGGAUGUGUCCAUGGUCUUAUAUUUGACAGAAAGCUGUCAGCGGUCAGGGAUACCAUAUUGACCCUGGUGGACACUGAUCGGCUCAUAGACGGACAUGGCUAACCAGAAGAAGCUGAUAGACGAGCUCUGUGGGAUUGUUACUUCUUUUCUAUGUCCCCAGGGGAUUGUGCCAGAGAUUGAAAAAUGUUCUACAAAGCUGCCUCAUUUUUCUAAAGGUGGAACAAAGCCUGUGUGCACAGUGAGGCUCCAGCAUGGCCACACUUAUCACAUUGAGUUUGUGUACAAGUUUUGGCAGCACAUUUUGGGCCAGCUUCGCCUGCCCCUACAGCCUUGCUUUAUUUUGACAAAUAACGGCUUGGCCACCACUUUGAAAUGUUUUAUGAGCCCGCCAAGGGAUAUAGACUUUCAGUAUGGCAACAGGGUCAAUAUGGCCUGCGAUGUGAAUUUGGAGAAAAACUCUUGUGUUAUCAUAGAGGACGAGGAUUUCCUGAGGUUCAAGAGCUACCAUGUGUUUCCCAAGGACGUACCAAUCUAUAACUCUAUGGUGGUAUGUAGAACCUACAUCACUGAUAUGAGGAACGCAGUACAAUUUUUUGUGGUCAAGCCUGGAAACAGGAGAAAGAUUGUGCAUAUGUUGGAAAGUAUUGAGGAGAUGCCUGAAACCCCACAACAGUUGUAUUUUUGUGGUGGACGUGGGUAUAAGAUGAUAGGGGCUGGGCUCUCCCUCUUCUUUUUUGCAGCCAUAGUGGCGCUGGCCAGUAAACUAGUAUGGUGAUGGGGGCCUUGGACUAUCUGCGCUUGAUGAAUAUUUCAGUGGAUGAGUUUAGAAGCUUUUGUAUCUAUGGCCACCUCAGUGGGCAGCGUGGAUGGGGUGAGCUGUUGUUGAGCAAUCUUUCAUUUAAAAGAGCAGUGUGCCAUAUACUGAAAAUACAGUGUGAGACUAAGAAGAGGUGGACAAACAAGGUAUUGGUGGCGAAUAGUGCGUUGUCCCUACUGACCCUCUUCAGGAUGGUUCUUCAUGAAUGUGUUUUUUCACACAAAUAUUUUAUACCUGACAGGAUCGAGGACAUGUGUUUCCCGCUGACCAAAAUACUCACUGUGCCCUUCCUCAAGGCCCUAGAUCUGUAUCUCUCCCAGUUUUCCAUCUCAUGCAAGUUUCCCAUAAUUAAAAUAUCCACUGUGAAUCCUACCCUUCUGGCGUUUACCAAGAAGAAAUAUCUGGCUAGUGUUGUGUCUGAUCAACCCAUCGAGGUCCCUGCUCCAUCUGCCCGGCCUGAUCCUGUGAGGUUUACUGCUGCGGUGCCCUUAGCUUCUGAUGAGCAGUCUCUGGUGAAAGCUUUACAUUCCAGUACCGGGACAGUCCAGUGUGGAAAUCCAUUUUAUUAUAUGAUGACCAGACUUUGCUUGUAUGGACUAAUGCAUGGUAGGGGGGGAAUUGUGCCAGUUUCCAGCUCUAGUAAGCAGAGUGUAUAUGAUGUGGCUAUAAGAUUUAUAGGUUCUAGGAUAUUGAGCCCGAUAGUGAGGCUGCCAAUUUUAUCCAGGGCUUUGGCAGACCUGGCGCUGACGGGGCACGGUCAUCAGAUAACAGUGUGUAAUGAAUGUGGCCACUGUUUAAAUUUGGGCAGGGAUAAAUUUCUUGCAGUAAAUUUUUCCCCCACAAGUAUGUUUUAUUGCAGAGAUCAAAAGGAGAAACAGUUUAACAUAUGUGCUACAACUGGGAGGAUCUAUUGUUCAUAUUGUGGGGCGACAGAGUUUACAGUGUAUGACAUGGUGGGAAGGUAUGCUACGGGGGAGCCUUUUAUUAGGGCGGUUUCCUCAGCUAACUCCCUUAGUAUUUUAGAUAAUAGCGAACAGGAGUGUGAUAUACUGAUCCCUUGUUUUGGUAAAUCUAGGUCUUGCAGUAUUAAGCUGAGGGCGACAUUUAGGGAGCUACUUUAUUUGACAGCGUCUGUUGAUAAUUUUAUUUGUCAAAAGUGUUCCAAUAAGGGUGAUGAAUAAAGACAGGGUCAAAGCUCCAGCUUUCCACCCAGAGCUCCAUAACAAGCUUUUGGAAAGGCUUAAGGCUGCCUAUGGAAAGGACAGUAUUGGCAAAGACCCAGAAGAAGCCCCAGUUCCCCUGUUGUUGCAUACCUGUGCAGUUAGAUUCUAUGAAGAGUACAAAGAAUUGACACGUGAUAACACAUUGCCUACAUUGGUAAACAAGAAAGGAUUCCCGGGGGAUGCCAAAAUGAUGGACCCUGUCUUGGGUAUCUAUCACUCUGGAAAAAAACAGGGAGCAUCAAGUGUCCCUUCCUCUUCUGGAGCAUUUGACGGAGGGAGCCACGGUGGCCCUCUACCUUCUGUUGAUCUUCCUCAAAGGGAGGGAGGCCUGUGGUACGGACUGGGCCCUGACAAGUCUGGACUGGGUUUUGUGCUCCCCUCUGAUCCAGGGUCUAUGUCUGACGGGAACAGCUUUAGGGUUAUUCCAGACCCCUCAUCUCUAACAGACAAGGAUGACCAGAACUUGGGGGAAUCGACCAAAACAAGGAGUGGAAAUGGAAAGAAAAAGUAGACCCUUGACCAAAGACUGUUAAAUGUAAAGCUGUUUUAUUCUUUUUAGAGUAGACAGCAUAUAUGAUGAAUGGUCGUGUACACUUUUGAUUAUCUUCUCAAUAAAUAAUAAUACAUUA
rnacentral:tmRNA from 1 species